CCCUCGAUAGCUCAGUUGGCAGAGCGGAGGACUGUAGAUGUUUUAACGGUGAUCCUUAGGUCGCUGGUCCGGCUCGAAGGA
rnacentral:tRNA from 1 species